AAUCUGACGGAGAACGAAUUCGUUCGUGUGAAGCUGAGAUACUGGUAGCUGCCGGAAAACGUAGUCGCCGGAGACAAUGGCUAUCGGCGCCGUUGUUUCUAACCGGAAUUUCGGUGGUUUCAUCGGUUCAGGCAGAGAGCAGUAUACAGUACAUCACCAUGGAGAGCAAUUGGGGUUUGCUGCUUUGAAGUAUGUUCAGAGGAAUAUGUUAUACAAUGAGCGGUGUCGCUCAAGGAUUGGCUUAUCGCACUCGGGUUGCAUAUAUAGCUCACAUCCCCAAUCUGUUGGACCUUUGGAUGGUAAAUCUUUUGGAUCGGUAUCACCAUUUUAUGUUGAAGUCGUUCUACCUAACCGGUUUAGUGGAAAGUCUCAUGUCAUCAAUCCUAAGCGAAGAACCAAAAGAUGGGAAUGCUAUCUUUCCUCUACCGGCUCAGGUAACAGUUGGAUUCAACCAAGGAAACUGGAUAAGUUUGGUUUCAUUGAUGGACAAAAGCAGCAGACAAAGCAUGCUGCAGUGAAUAGAGCCCAAGCCGACUUCAAAUCUGAUGGAUAUGACAUAACUGGAG
rnacentral:misc_RNA from 1 species